rnacentral:rRNA from 1 species
UCAUCUCCGGGGGUAGAGCACUGUUUCGGCAAGGGGGUCAUCCCGACUUACCAACCCGAUGCAAACUGCGAAUACCGGAGAAUGUUAUCACGGGAGACACACGGCGGGUGCUAACGUCCGUCGUGAAGAGGGAAACAACCCAGACCGCCAGCUAAGGUCCCAAAGUCAUGGUUAAGUGGGAAACGAUGUGGGAAGGCCCAGACAGCCAGGAUGUUGGCUUAGAAGCAGCCAUCAUUUAAAGAAAGCGUAAUAGCUCACUGGUCGAGUCGGCCUGCGCGGAAGAUGUAACGGGGCUAAACCAUGCACCGAAGCUGCGGCAGCGACGCUUAUGCGUUGUUGGGUAGGGGAGCGUUCUGUAAGCCUGCGAAGGUGUGCUGUGAGGCAUGCUGGAGGUAUCAGAAGUGCGAAUGCUGACAUAAGUAACGAUAAAGCGGGUGAAAAGCCCGCUCGCCGGAAGACCAAGGGUUCCUGUCCAACGUUAAUCGGGGCAGGGUGAGUCGACCCCUAAGGCGAGGCCGAAAGGCGUAGUCGAUGGGAAACAGGUUAAUAUUCCUGUACUUGGUGUUACUGCGAAGGGGGGACGGAGAAGGCUAUGUUGGCCGGGCGACGGUUGUCCCGGUUUAAGCGUGUAGGCUGGUUUUCCAGGCAAAUCCGGAAAAUCAAGGCUGAGGCGUGAUGACGAGGCACUACGGUGCUGAAGCAACAAAUGCCCUGCUUCCAGGAAAAGCCUCUAAGCAUCAGGUAACAUCAAAUCGUACCCCAAACCGACACAGGUGGUCAGGUAGAGAAUACCAAGGCGCUUGAGAGAACUCGGGUGAAGGAACUAGGCAAAAUGGUGCCGUAACUUCGGGAGAAGGCACGCUGAUAUGUAGGUGAAGCGACUUGCUCGUGGAGCUGAAAUCAGUCGAAGAUACCAGCUGGCUGCAACUGUUUAUUAAAAACACAGCACUGUGCAAACACGAAAGUGGACGUAUACGGUGUGACGCCUGCCCGGUGCCGGAAGGUUAAUUGAUGGGGUUAGCGGUAACGCGAAGCUCUUGAUCGAAGCCCCGGUAAACGGCGGCCGUAACUAUAACGGUCCUAAGGUAGCGAAAUUCCUUGUCGGGUAAGUUCCGACCUGCACGAAUGGCGUAAUGAUGGCCAGGCUGUCUCCACCCGAGACUCAGUGAAAUUGAACUCGCUGUGAAGAUGCAGUGUACCCGCGGCAAGACGGAAAGACCCCGUGAACCUUUACUAUAGCUUGACACUGAACAUUGAGCCUUGAUGUGUAGGAUAGGUGGGAGGCUUUGAAGUGUGGACGCCAGUCUGCAUGGAGCCGACCUUGAAAUACCACCCUUUAAUGUUUGAUGUUCUAACGUUGGCCCCUAAUCGGGGUUGCGGACAGUGUCUGGUGGGUAGUUUGACUGGGGCGGUCUCCUCCUAAAGAGUAACGGAGGAGCACGAAGGUUGGCUAAUCCUGGUCGGACAUCAGGAGGUUAGUGCAAUGGCAUAAGCCAGCUUGACUGCGAGCGUGACGGCGCGAGCAGGUGCGAAAGCAGGUCAUAGUGAUCCGGUGGUUCUGAAUGGAAGGGCCAUCGCUCAACGGAUAAAAGGUACUCCGGGGAUAACAGGCUGAUACCGCCCAAGAGUUCAUAUCGACGGCGGUGUUUGGCACCUCGAUGUCGGCUCAUCACAUCCUGGGGCUGAAGUAGGUCCCAAGGGUAUGGCUGUUCGCCAUUUAAAGUGGUACGCGAGCUGGGUUUAGAACGUCGUGAGACAGUUCGGUCCCUAUCUGCCGUGGGCGCUGGAGAACUGAGGGGGGCUGCUCCUAGUACGAGAGGACCGGAGUGGACGCAUCACUGGUGUUCGGGUUGUCAUGCCAAUGGCACUGCCCGGUAGCUAAAUGCGGAAGAGAUAAGUGCUGAAAGCAUCUAAGCACGAAACUUGCCCCG